GUUUAAUCCUAAGAAUAAUGGAAAGCCCAAAAUCCCCAUUGGGAAAUUUUGACAACGGGAGUGGCAUGAACUAGUGUGUGCUUUGAGUAUCAUGCUCUGGCUGCUGUGUGGAGACCUGAAUGUAUGAAACAGAAGUGGAAGCAGGCUGCCCUGUCAGGAGACCCUGCGGUGUCCGUCGCUGUCGCCUGUCCUCCACACAUGGAAUUCAGCCACUGUAGACUGGCUCGUGGCCCUCCCUGAUAUGUUAUGUGUAUGAGAAGCAGGGCGAUAUCUCCGGCCCACUUCUUUGACAGGUUCUCUUGUUGCUGAUGCUGAGAAACUCCAGGAGCCUGCUAUUUGUAGAGAGAAGUGUGUUCCAGCUGCUGGUGCUAACAAAGAUCUGAGACCAAGAAAGGAUGGGAAGAAGGAGAAGAAAAAUUUUGAUUUAUCUCAGAAACUAUACUCCGAAGUGAGAGUCCUGGUUGCAGCAUCCUUCACCGAAGCACGAAGCAGAAUCAAGCUGUUGCCAUGAAGCUUGUUUCAAGAGCUCAGAAAUACUCCAGGGACUCCUUUACUACUGCUUUUCAAAGAGGCCUUUUUUUCUCUCUUCUCCUUUUCCUGCAAAGAGGGUUAUAUCCAGUGCUCAAGGACAUGGGAUUAUCAGCCUAAGGCAUGAGUACAUGCUGUGGAAACAGAAAUAUGUAUGAAGGGAUGUAUGAAACCACAGAAUAAAUGGAAUCCACAUUCUUGAAGUAGCUACAACUCUACUUGAGGGAAAAUAAUGCUUGGCUUCAGGUAUUUGGAAAUACUGCACAUUCGGGCUAAGAAUGAGAUGACCAUUUUCUCAUUUUCAACUAAUUAUUUCAAGAUACCAAAACAAAACAAACAAAUGCCAUUGGUGAGUACCUGCUAUAUACAAAAUGAGCUGUAUGUAGUGAAGUGGCCAGGAAAGGCAGAGUUCACAGCCAUAGGUAGGGCAGGCCCUGGCCACCCUUUAGGGGAGCAAGAAAGGUAAACCAGGUGGAUGAAACAUAUCCUAUAGCAUAUUGUAAUUGGUAAGUGGAUGCAAGUGGUUUCUUAGCAAGUCAGAGGCAUCGGGCUGUCUAAAAGAGGUAAGAAGAUUAUACUGACAGAGAGGUGGAGCAAACAAUGAGGUGUCUGGGAGGAAGCAUUUGAAGAGCUGCAAGGAGGUCUGAUUUAUGGUAGAAAAACUGAGUCCCCAGGAACUGGGGAAGUGACUGGCAAGAAGAGGACAGGGCUUCUAGUCUAGAGGAAUCAAGGCAUAGGACAUAUUGCUUACCUAGAGAUUCAGUCAGGGGUAUGGGAUCCAGCCUGGGUAUAGUUUUUGGAAGGCUGCUUACUUGAUUGGGUUGGAGUGGGACUAACAGCAAGUGUGAUUUGAUGCUGACCCUUCAGUACUGGCCUGCGUAGCUUACAACAGUUACCCUGUCUAAGAAGGAGAUUGAUUCCAGAACCCAGAAUAAAGCAGAGAAUGCAGAUGGUGGUCACAUGGGUUCAGGUAAGGAGUAAGGAAAGUCACUGGCCCUUCUCCAAGUGCUGUGCAGGUGCAAAAGUUAUUUAAUUUUCUGUUUCUCUCUUGAAUGAAUAUGCUACCUAUUUGGUGGUAUAACACGUAAACUCAUUCAUAUUAAAUGUCAAUACAUGCUUUAAUGUUUUAAUCAAUAAAUGUACUAAAUAAUUUAAAUUUACAAGGGAUUUUGGAAACAGAUCCAACUUUAAGCAUGGCAGGAAAUUGAUAUUUGGACAAGGAAUGUUAGCACAUUCUUAGAUCAUACUCAGAUUUAAGGUAAGACUACUCUAUUUUUCAAACCAAUCUAGGUAUAUAAAACCAAAUCUAGUUAGAAUGAGAAUACUAAAUUAAACAUAAGUUUGUUAUUCAGAUAUUCCAUGUAGAACUGUGGGAUGAAGUGCAAUCAGCUGUGACUGGUUGGAAUAAGGACCUGCCUUAUCCCAUGGAGAGUUAGAGAAUCUGUUCCAACAAGGACAGAAGGUCCAGGUGGGAAGAGCUCUGGAAAACAAAACUCUCUGACAGCGCUCUUGAAAGCUCUGCUGGCAUCCCAAGGCACGUAGAUAGUACCUAUACAUCUCAUCAGGAACAUGGAUGGUUCUCUGCUAUCAGCUGAAGUGCUGUGACCACAAAACUGAAAAUUCCCAUUCUGUGUCCUUGCCAAUAAAGAAUGUCCAUCAGAGCACGCCCAGUAUCCUAGCUCCUUAUCCAGACUGUGCUUCUCAAUGUGACAAGGAAGACUGCAACCCUAUUUGCUUCUGAUAACCUUCCUAUGACUAAGUCUUCUCUGGUUGAGAUUCCUGGGGAGGACACUCAUGACAAUUGUGGUUUUUGGAGGAUCUAUCUUUAGGCAGCUAAAAGGAAGUUCAGAGAAAGCCCCUUCCUAUACUUCGCAGGAGAAAAAAGAGGUGUGCUACAACAACAUGACCCCAGCAAGCAAGAUUAUUUCUGUGCACUGAUAGGAAAAGGAAGCAAGCCAUGAGUGCCUGUUGAAGCUGGAAAAGCAAGAUUGAUGUUGAGGCUUGAUUGAAGGAGUGCAAGGUCACUCACAGAAGAAGUCAUGGUGCAAGAGUACAUCUCAAUCCUGCCCUAGCCUGGAAACAGCAUGCUCUGCUGCAUUUGCAUGCCCAAGGCACUGCUUGUCCUAAGCCCCAUCCUAGAAACUCUCUAUAGCUUUAUUUCCCUUAAGAAGGUAGAAAAACAUCAACAACCUAUCCGUACUAGCUGAAUGGCCUCUAGGCCUAUUGGGCAAGUACACCCAGAUGAGCAUCACUCUUAAGUGGCUGCUUCAGGUCAAGGUCUUUUGUGUUGGGGCAGCUGCAAACUGGCCUCUUUGGCUAUCCCAAGACCCUCUAAGUCCAAGGAGCUUUCAACCUCUAGUGAUGUUCAAUCUCUGUAAAGCUGUGUAAUGGGGGAUAAACAUUAAAGUUGUUUCACAUUUAAAAAAAA
rnacentral:lncRNA from 1 species